UAUGGCCACAUCACAUUGAAACACUUGGUUCCGGUAUGAUCACCGAAGCUAAGCAACAUUAAGCCUGGUCAGUAUCUAGGUGGGAGACCACUUGGAAAUACCAGGUGUUGUAAG